UUGGUGGUUCAGCGGUAGAACUCUCGCCCUCAUGCGGGAGACCCGGGUUCGAUUCCCGGCCAA
rnacentral:tRNA from 1 species